rnacentral:rRNA from 1 species
GACGUAGGGCGCGAGCGUUGUCCGGAUUUAUUGGGCGUAAAGAGCUCGUAGGCGGCUUGUCGCGUCGACCAUGAAAACUUGGGGCUCAACCCCAAGCCUGCGGUCGAUACGGGCAGGCUCGAGUUCGGUAGGGGAGACUGGAAUUCCUGGUGUAGCGGUGAAAUGCGCAGAUAUCAGGAGGAACACCGAUGGCGAAGGCAGGUCUCUGGGCCGAUACUGACGCUGAGGAGCGAAAGCGUGGGGAGCGAACAGG